rnacentral:tRNA from 1 species
GCCUGGGUGGCUUAGUCAGUUGAGCAUCUGACUUCAGCUCAGGUCAUGAUCUCAUGGUUCGUGGGUUCAAGCCCCACAUGGGGCU